rnacentral:rRNA from 1 species
AUUGAACGCUGGCGGCAGGCCUAACACAUGCAAGUCGAACGGUAACAGAAAGCAUCUUGCUGCUUUGCUUACGAGUGUCGGACGUGUGAGUAAUGUCUGUGAAACUGCCUGAUGGAGGGGGUUAACUACUGGAAACGGUAGCUAAUACCUCAUAACGUCGCAAGACCAAAGAGGGGGACCUUCGGGCCUCUUGCCUUCGGAUUUUCCCAGAUUGGAUUAGCUAGUUGGUUGGGUAACGGCUCACCUAGGCGACGAUCCCUAGAUGGUCUGAGAGGAUGACCAGCCAAACGGGAAGUGAGACACGGACCAGACUCCUACGGGAGGCAGCAGUGGGGAAUAUUGCACAAUGGGGGCAAGCAUGAUGCAGCCAUGCCGCGUGUAUGAAGAAGGCCUUCGGGUUGUAAAGUACUUUCAGCGGGGAGGAAGGGAGUAAAGUUAAUACCUUUGCUCAUUGACGUUACCCGCAGAAGAAGCACCGGCUAACUCCGUG